rnacentral:rRNA from 1 species
GACGAACCGUACGAACGUUAUUCGGAAUCACUGGGCUUAAAGGGUGCGUAGGCGGCGCGACAAGUUGGGUGUGAAAUCCCUCGGCUUAACCGAGGAACUGCGCCCAAAACUGUCGUGCUCGAGGGAGACAGAGGUGAGCGGAACUUAGGGUGGAGCGGUGAAAUGCGUUGAUAUCCUAAGGAACACCGGUGGCGAAAGCGGCUCACUGGGUCUCUUCUGACGCUGAGGCACGAAAGCUAGGGUAGCGAACGGG